GGGGUGGGGCCGCCGCCGCUUGGAGUUGGGCUACGGGCUAUGGACGGUACUGUUAAUGGUGGACCCUGAUUGACAAGUCUUUUUCCAGACUAAAAAGCACUCAAAAAACACACCUAAAGUGAGUCUGCAAGAUGGCGACUUGUAGCCUUUGUCGAGCUCCUUCUUAAUCGCCAUACUGCCUGUCUAUCGUCAAAUCUCCGAGUGGCUGCCUUUGCAUGACAGCCUUGCACACGUGUUGUUUGUCUGAGCUUGCGCCCACACACCUUGUUGCCAGGAGGCUCAUGGAGGCGAAAACCCAGUUUCUCGAAUCUCCGGCGUGGUGAGGGCCCAUGAGCUCUUGUACAUACCCUAGAGGUACAAGCAGCGGCGGCGGCACGAGCAGCGGCGUUUGUAUUGUCUCCAAACUUGCUGACGGCCGUAUCUACGCCACUCAACAUGACACUUUGUUGCUUUUGAGCAAUGCACCAUAUCCUGUCAGAUGCCUGAAUAACAGUCCUGUGUCUGAUAACUUGGUAGGACUGGUAGGGGAGGGGAGGGGUGAGGACAAACCUGGUUCGAUACAACCACACACUGUCCUACAGCACACUGUUCCGUAGCUUGGCCCAUUGAACUCCACAAGACAGCCAAACAGCUACAUCUUGGACGGACUUGCUCAUCACUAAUCAAUAACACAGUCUUUGACGACCACCACGGUAUUUCAACUUGUACUCACCUAACCGCAAGUCUUUGGUCAGCAACUUUUAGCGUUUCUUGUUCGGUCAGUAUCGGGUGGUGAAUGAACCAUGGUACACCCUUCACCUACAGCUCGCUCCGUGUCUGGCCGCGUCAUGCUCAGCGGACAUUAGCGCCCUUUGCUAGUCGCCCUAGUCUAUAAGCAGACAGAUACUCGAGAUACGAGCUGUGUUCGCAAUGCGAUUGACACACCCCUCUCCACACGUUUCUCUUUUUGGAUGCACAGCUUUUCUCAACAACUUGCCACAAUAUACACACACCAGACACCAGACACGCUGCUCACGUAUCCUGGAUACGGGCACGUAUAAAUGACAGGGAUCCACGGACCCUGCUGUGUACCUUACAUGACGUUGCGAUGGAAUAGCCCAGGUUCACAGCUUCCCGUCGCCUAUACUUGCCCUAGCUCCGGGGCGCUGUGUGGAGAACAAGGGGGUCAAGAAGGCGGAUUUGGGAGGGACAAGGCAAGAAGAAAUUCAAUAUUGUACAGUGUACAGUAGUGGUACUAAGGCCAACAGUUGGAGAAAGUCUCGCUUGAACAAGAUGAAAUGAAAAUCCUGUCUCAAGAGAAGACCCCACACGAGCUCUUCUACGCCGCCGAAAACAAGCUACAAAGCAACAGCCAAAGGGGAUUGCGGGCCAGAUGCUCUUUUCCGACCACAGCCCAUCACCACCUCUCCUCAUUGGCUACUCUUAUCAGACAUACGUCAGUCAGACCAAAAAAAGGUCAGUCAGCCAUUAGCAAAAAGUGAACCGAACAAAGACAGGCCCAUCUCAUCACCCAACCACCUCUCCAUUGUCUCUAAUACGAGAUGCAACCUGCAACCGAGCACGAUGGCAAAAAGAUAUAGGCGAGAAAGACAAGCAGAAAAACAAGAAAGCCAAAACCCCAGAAAGAAGAAGCAAACGCUGAGAAACCUGAGACAAACCGGCUGUCUGUCGCUGGACUUCUUCUCUGGGACACCGCUGACAACGCUUCCUUCUUUCGGGCGGACAAAAAACCAAAAAAAACCAAAAAAAAAAAAAACAACAUCGCUUCAUAAACCCAAAAUCCUAAACCUCAUGUUGGAGUCUUGCAAAAACCAGCUGCUGAGACAAUCAACCUCGAGAC
rnacentral:misc_RNA from 1 species